GAGGAAGGAGGGAGGCGUGCCUAAUACAUGCAAGUCGAGCGAACAGACGAGGAGCUUGCUCCUCUGACGUUAGCGGCGGACGGGUGAGUAACACGUGGAUAACCUACCUAUAAGACUGGGAUAACUUCGGGAAACCGGAGCUAAUACCGGAUAAUAUAUUGAACCGCAUGGUUCAAUAGUGAAAGACGGUUUUGCUGUCACUUAUAGAUGGAUCCGCGCCGCAUUAGCUAGUUGGUAAGGUAACGGCUUACCAAGGCGACGAUGCGUAGCCGACCUGAGAGGGUGAUCGGCCACACUGGAACUGAGACACGGUCCAGACUCCUACGGGAGGCAGCAGUAGGGAAUCUUCCGCAAUGGGCGAAAGCCUGACGGAGCAACGCCGCGUGAGUGAUGAAGGUCUUCGGAUCGUAAAACUCUGUUAUUAGGGAAGAACAAAUGUGUAAGUAACUAUGCACGUCUUGACGGUACCUAAUCAGAAAGCCACGGCUAACUACGUG
rnacentral:rRNA from 1 species